UAAAAAAGCUUGAUCGAAAAA
rnacentral:piRNA from 1 species